rnacentral:tRNA from 1 species
GGCUCCGUGGCUUAAUGGUUACGGCUUCUGCCUCACAAGCAGAAGGUUCGGGGAUCAAAUCCCGGUCGGUACCU